AUUUGUUUCUAAACUUUGUAUCAGUUUGUAUCAAAACUGUCAAAUUGACUUUGUACCACCCACAACUGUCAAAAUACUUCCCAGCACCACCCACUGAGUCUACAAAUGGACACACACACAAAUACAACUUCAGAAAGUUUUAUUUAAAUAAAGUAAAAUGCAGGACAAGGCAUCACACCUGCACUGAUGAAUCCUGACUCCUUAUCAGACAGCCUAGCACUUCCCAAGACUGGCCCCUGACUCUGUGGCUAUUUCCUCUUACAGGACCUCCAAGGAUAUGCCCUCUGUGACAAUGGGAAAGAGCGGAAACUAGCGCAAACAGCAUCUCUCCCAGCUCAGAAAUGUAAUAGCUCGGCCAGAGUUGGCCUACCUGAGGCCCGAUGGAAGAGAAGAAGAGGUAUAAGGCUGGUAAAGGCAGGAAAAGAUGCACAAGGCACGAGACGACUGAAGAAUGGAGAGACUGUCCCUACGUGACAGAAGAAAAUCAUCUGGGUGUAUACAAGGUGACAUGGGGAAAUGUAAUGUGAAGUUGAGUGAAAGGACUGGUCUAAAUGUUAGAAUUCUAAGGAAAAAGCCAUUGUUAUCUCUCAAGCAAAGGUUGAAAAGAUUAAACCCAUGUUAACUGGACAGAGGAACAAUGGGUCAGUGUUAUUUGGAGCAAUGAGACCCAAAUCUCCUUGCUUGGUAGCGAUGACAUGAAAUACGCGAGAAGAAUCAGAGAAGAUUUACAUCCUACUUGCGUUACACCAACCGUGAAACACCCAGAUAGUGUGAUGAUCUGGGGUUGUAUGGCAGCAAAAGGUGUGGGCAGAAAUACUUGAGCCCAAACUGAAGCAUUCCGCAGGUGAUCUUUUCCCACAUAAUGAAGCACUUAUAAAGAUUUAUUUGUUUGUUUACAGUGGUGCCUCACUUAACGAAUGCUCUGUAAGACGAAUUUUUCGCUAGACGAAUGGAUUUUGCGAUCGGAGGUUGCCCCGCAAGACGACGAGGUUUUCUAUGGCCGCCGCUUCGUCUUGCGAAGCGUGGCCAUAGAAAAACAAACCUCCGACUGCAAAGUCCAGUGUGCAGCAAAAAAUUGCCACGGCUUUUUGCCACCUGCCUUCCCCUGGGCUUGGGGAAGGCAGGCGGCAAAUCACCCCCACACCGCCGCACUUCGGCUCCAGGGUUCAGAGCCGAAGUGCAGCGGUGCGGGUGCUGCGAAGGCAAGCAGCUGUGUGCCAGGCAACUGGGGGAAGGCAGCCCCCGCACUGCCGCACUUCAGCUCCGUCCCCCAGACCCGUGUAUAAUCCUAAAACAAGUCUAAAACUAUUGGAAAUGCAUUUGAAUUGGCCACAGAGGAGGGGUAAAAGGGAAGUCGACCUCCUCUAUUGAGAGACCGAUGAAACAGUAACCUGAUCCCUGCCAGGAAGGUGAAAAGAAACAGCUAAUUUGUUACCAAUUGGACUUAAAAGCUCCCUCCCUGGAGCGGGGGUGGGGGGAGAGUGAAGAGCAAGUUUAAUUUAAAUCUCCUGCAAAUCAAAGAAGUGAUUUUAAAGGAACUCCCUGAAGAAGUCUGUUUUGGGUUCCUGGAGGGACAGGCGAAUAUACCACAGAAAUUAAGUGAGGAUUACAGAUCUUUUAUUAAUCUGGUUUUGACUUGGUUAAAUAGUAAAGAAUUGGAAUCACGGGAGAAAUAAAAAAGAGAAAAGAUUUCCAGACUGGGUUCAAAAUGGAGAAUUAAUGAUAUAAACAAUAUUCCUGCCAUUUCCGGCUCUGCAUAUGGCUGUUUUCCCACGGGAUGGAAAGUGAUAAGAUGGCUGUAGUCUCAACAUUCAACAAAGAGGUACUCUGGCUAAGGAUUUCUAUGACACUCUUGGAUAUUAAAAAGGAAUUGAAUGAGCAAAACCAACAAAUAAGGAACUAUUUGGACAAUAGAUCUGGAGUGGUGUCAGAGGUCCAAGAGGAAUUAUUGACAACGGGCAAGGAAGUAGAGCCGCAGUCUGCCAUGUACAUUGAAGAAGAGGAGGAAGAUGAAGCAAAGGUCCCACAAGUGAGAGAUGUGGGACUGAGAAAGGACUUGCAACAAGAACCACUCAAUGAGAAAAUAGAAUGGGCCUUUGUACUCCCAGUGAGAGGGGGAGGACAGGGCAUAUUCGGGAAAUUUUUAAAGAGGUUAAACAAUGUUGGGAGGUAGAUAGAGGGAGGGAGAAACAGAAGGAGUGGUACAAAAAAGUUGGAAAGAGCAUAUGGGAAAGGGUAGGAAUGGGGUAAAGGAAUUAUAUUAGGAAUAUUGGAUUGAUGAUAUGGAAGACCCGAUACUGGUUUGAAUUAUGGAAUUUGCUGUUAUCUCCAGAGAAUCUGGAAUUGGUGGAAGGAGGGAUGGAUUUAUUAUUGUUAUAAUUGUAUUAUGUAUUAUGAUUUAAGUUAACAAUUGAAGGAUGAUUCAUUGUUAGCAAAAAGUAAAGGUGAGGGAAAGUUAUGGAUUAUAUAUAGAAAGGUAAAUAGAAAUGUUAGAUUGGAAUAAUUGGAUAAAAGGAGAGAUAAGUAGUAUUGAAAUAUGAGAUAUCAUGUAUAUUGAAUACUGUUAAAUUGGAUAUUAUAAAGGAUCUCAAUAUGGGGAGAGCCGGGGAAGUCCCAUAAGGAAGUUAUGAAAAAGAUUUGAUGGUUAGAUUUUUGUUCUUUGGUUUCCCCCCUCUCUUUUCUUUUGCUUUCCCCCCUUCUUUUUCUUGUUUUGUCAUGUGUGGAUUGUAUUGUAUUUUCUUUUUGUCUUUUGUAUGCUAUGUUGUUGAGAAAAUUUUAAUAAACAGAUUAAAAAGAAAAAGCUAAUAGAGUUCUGUCAAGAGAACAAGCUGGUCAUCACAAACACUAUUUUCCAACAACACAAGAGACGACUCCACACAUGGAUAUCACCAAAUGGGCAGCAUAGAAAUCAGAUUGAUUAUAUUAUCUGCAGCCAAAGAUGGAGAAGCUCUAUACAGUCAGCAAAAACAAGACCUGGAGCUGACUGUGGCUCAGAUCACCCGCUUCUUAUACCGUAUUUCUCCUAUUUUAAGACACCGUCUUAUAUUUAUUUUACUCAAGAAAAUAAGCAUAUGGCUUAUUUUCAAGGGGUGUCUUAAAAUACACUGGGGGAAGACUGGGGGAAGAAGGCGAAAGGCUGUAGCAAGUAAACAGGGCUGGUGAAGAAAACCCAGCCUUUUACCAGGGGACGCUGUGGCUUUAAACCACUCCAAGAAGUGAUCGGGUGGGUUUCCUCCCCGCCCCGCUUGAACAAACGUCCCCUCCCUGCUCCGUUGCCUCGCUUACCCGUGCUCCGGUAUCUGAUUAAAUGAGAAGGAAGUGUGGGAGUGAAGCUCUCCCUUUA